rnacentral:tRNA from 1 species
UGGGGUUAGACUCAGUGGCAGAGCACUCGCCUAGGAUGUGCGAGGCCCUGGGUUCAAUCCUCAGCACCACAU